AACGAACGCUGGCGGCAUGCCUAACACAUGCAAGUCGAACGAGACCUUCGGGUCUAGUGGCGCACGGGUGCGUAACGCGUGGGAACCUGCCCUUAGGUUCGGAAUAACUCCCCGAAAGGGGUGCUAAUACCGGAUAAUGUCUUCGGAGCAAAGAUUUAUCGCCUUUGGAUGGGCCCGCGUUGGAUUAGCUAGUUGGUAGGGUAAAAGCCUACCAAGGCGACGAUCCAUAGCUGGUCUGAGAGGAUGAUCAGCCACACUGGGACUGAGACACGGCCCAGACUCCUACGGGAGGCAGCAGUGGGGAAUAUUGGACAAUGGGCGAAAGCCUGAUCCAGCAAUGCCGCGUGAGUGAUGAAGGCCUUAGGGUUGUAAAGCUCUUUUACCCGGGAUGAUAAUGACAGUACCGGGAGAAUAAGCUCCGGCUAACUCCGUG
rnacentral:rRNA from 1 species